rnacentral:rRNA from 1 species
AGAGUUUGAUCAUGGCUCAGGAUGAACGCUAGCGGCAGGCUUAAUACAUGCAAGUCGUGGGGCAGCGCGGGUAGCAAUACCUGGCGGCGACCGGCAAACGGGUGCGGAACACGUACGCAACCUUCCUUUAAGUGGGGGAUAGCCCAGGGAAACUUGGAUUAAUACCCCGUAGCAUUACGAGAUGGCAUCAUUUUGUAAUU